GGUCCCGUAGCUCAGCUGGAUAGAGCGCUGCCCUCCGAAGGCAGAGGCCAGAGGUUCGAAUCCUCUCGGGACCGCCA
rnacentral:tRNA from 2 species